rnacentral:tmRNA from 13 species
GGGGCUGCUUUGGUUUCGACAUUUAAGAUUAAUUAAUAUAUGAUUCAGGUCGAAGCGUACAUUCUUCGUAAAAAUCUGUACAAUUCUAAUUAACUGCUAUUCAAACUAUUUUAAACGCAAUUAAAUCUAAUAUUAAAAACAAUUCUGUAAAUUCAUUAAGAUUUGCUUUUUAACAAAUUUUAAUAAAUUUGUUCACUACAUCUAGACGUUUUAUCUAUUGUAGUUUAGAAUAAUUUCAUUAACUACUUGUUCGUUGAAACUAAGCCUGUGAACGAGUAUAUUAAACAAUCUUAAAUGGACAUGGGUUCAAUUCCCAUCAGUUCCAU